rnacentral:rRNA from 1 species
AUUGAACGCUGGCGGCACGCCUAACACAUGCAAGUCGAGCGGUAACAUGAUUAGUAGCAAUACUAAUUGAUGACGAGCGGCGGACGGGUGAGGAACACGUAGGAACUUGCCCAGAAGAGGGGGAUAACCAAGGGAAACUUUGGCUAAUACCGCGUAAACUCGAGAGAGAAAAGCUGCCGUAAGGUAGCGCUUCUGGAGAGGCCUGCGUCCGAUUAGUUAGUUGGUGAGGUAAAAGCUCACCAAGGCGAUGAUCGGUAACUGGUCUGAGAGGACGACCAGUCACACUGGGACUGAGACACGGCCCAGACUCCUACGGGAGGCAGCAGUGGGGAAUAUUGGACAAUGGGGGCAACCCUGAUCCAGCGAUGCUGCGUGAGUGAAGAAGGCCUUCGGGUCGUAAAGCUCUUUAGGUUGGGAAGAAGUAUGGUAGCUGAUAAGGCUAUUAUGUUGACGGUACCGACAGAAUAAGCACCGGCAAACUCUGUGCCAGCAGCCGCGGUAAUACAGAGGGUGCGAGCGUUAAUCGGAGUUACUGGGCGUAAAGGGCGCGUAGGCGGUGAGAUGUGUGUGAUGUGAAAGCCCUGGGCUUAACCUGGGAAGUGCAUCGCAAACUGUCUGACUGGAGUAUAUGAGAGGGUGGCGGAAUUUCCGGUGUAGCGGUGAAAUGCGUAGAGAUCGGAAGGAACGUCGAUGGCGAAGGCAGCCACCUGGCAUAAUACUGACGCUGAGGCGCGAAAGCGUGGGGAGCGAACAGGAUUAGAUACCCUGGUAGUCCACGCUGUAAACGAUG